CUCGUAGGAUCACCGAAGUUAAGCAACGUCGAACCUGGUCAGUACUUAGAUUGGUAACCAUUUGGGAAUACCAGCUGUUGUAUGC